UGAAACGAUCCAGGGUAAACCUGAGAAACCCGAAAGGUCGAAGGGAGAAAUUCAUUCGCGUUUCGAUGUUGGCGUGAGGCGGUUGCGCGACGGACGGCGUUCGCGUCGUCCGCACCUUCCGUUUUUCGAUCCGACGUCGAACGCGUGCACUUUUCUCCUGGUAGGACGUCGCGAUCCGUUGGGUGUCGGUCUAAGGCUCGCGGUGGAGCCCGAUCGUCCGGCUUGCCGGUACGGUCGGACCCGUGGUGUCCCGGCCGACCCGCUCGACGGUAUAAGAAAGGCGUGGGGCCGCUUCUCGAAGCGUUCGGCCCGCGGCAAGCGCGUUCGGCGCGUCGGUGAUCGGACCUGGUGCCGGUCCCGACCCCGGAUGACUGUUGGCCGCGGCGCUCUCGAACAGACCUCUUUCGCCGAUCUGCGACGCUAUAGCUUUGGGUACUUUCAGGACCCGUCUUGAA
rnacentral:rRNA from 1 species